UGAUCAGUUCAGAAGGAAGACUGAGUUCUUUGUUUGGACUCACGGUCUCGGGAGGUUUCCAUUCCAUGGAUUCUGAGCCUCUGAGAACACAAAGCUUUCUGGCAGGGGAGCAAGUACCUUCUCAGCUCAUCACGGUGGUCUGGAAGCAACUAGUGCUGGUAGCACAGCCCCUCCUUGAAAAACCAUGCAUCUAUGAACCCAGUUGGAGUAUGUGGUGACUUGUGCUCACUGCUGGGAGCAUGUGGCUGUUAACAUCUGGCUGAGCCAUUGAUUGUAUCGGAGCUUACAGGAUCCAUUCACUUCCCAAAGGUCCCCACUUCUAGACACAUAAACUUGGGGGGGUUAAAAAGUCAAAGCCUAGACGCAAGUAUGAGGGGCCCUUCAUUCUUAAUGUGCUUUUGUGACGUGUCUCAGAACCUACAGUCUCUCUUCCUACACAAUACCAUUGUAUAGGAAUCACCAGGCAGUUCUGGGGUAGCCUGGAAAAUUUAUCCAACGGUCAAUGGAUGGAGAAGGACUCAGACUCUAAACACAACCUCCCUCAGAGGUCUAGGAUGGGAUUUUUGCUAUGAGUAGGAUGUGAGGGGUGUAGUACCCAUGUUGUUCUUAGAAAUUUUCAUGGAGAAAGUUUCCCAGGGAUCAGGGAACCACUUCUUUUUUUCCCCAAUUCUGGGCAUGGUCAAAUCUGUUAUACCAGGGGCUGUGU
rnacentral:lncRNA from 1 species